rfam:Helianthus annuus linkage group 4, whole genome shotgun sequence.
UGGCCUGUGAGGAAAUCUGUUUAAAUUUACACCAUCUUUCGGGACUGAUUGACCUUUUCAUAAGGUUUUGAUGCUAAUUCUGCAAUUCUGAGGCCA